rnacentral:rRNA from 1 species
UACGUAGGUGGCAAGCGUUGUCCGGAAUUAUUGGGCGUAAAGCGCGCGCAGGCGGUCCUUUAAGUCUGAUGUGAAAGCCCACGGCUCAACCGUGGAGGGUCAUUGGAAACUGGGGGGCUUGAGUACAGAAGAGGAAAGCGGAAUUCCACGUGUAGCGGUGAAAUGCGUAGAGAUGUGGAGGAACACCAGUGGCGAAGGCGGCUUUCUGGUCUGUAACUGACGCUGAGGCGCGAAAGCGUGGGGAGCAAACAGG